rnacentral:tRNA from 1 species
UAUAUUUUAGUGUAUGAUGCACAAAAGUUUUUGGUACUUUUAGAGAUAGUUUAAUUCUGUUAAAUAUAA